UGACUACUGCUUCCGUUUCAUAAUUCUUGUCGAAAUAUUACAUGUAUCUAAACAUUUUUUAGGAAUAGAUACAUUCAUUUUUUUUAUCAAAUUUGAGACAAGAAUUAUGGAACGGAGGGAGUACUAG
rfam:Brachypodium distachyon strain Bd21 chromosome 1, whole genome shotgun sequence.